rnacentral:snoRNA from 1 species
UUGCAGUGAUGACCAUCUUAGGACACCUUUGGAUUUAAGCAUGAAAACAACCUUUUUGUCUCUGAGCAAC